rnacentral:lncRNA from 1 species
UGAAAGAUUGGCAGUUGUUUUCUGGAUGCCUGGUCUCAGUUCACUAGUUUGAGCACCCAGGGAUGGCAGACAAAGAUUCAUUUCCAUCACUCUCAUCAAUAUGAAGUGAUUUCCUCUUCUUGGUAGAAGGAAAAGUAAUCUGGGCUGGCCCAUUUGUCGAGAUCCAGGUAUCAUUGAAUCUUGACUUUUGGGUAUCCAAGGCAACAGAAGAGUAAAGAAAGUCAGGUUAGGAAAUAGAAAAGACACCUAAUAUGCACAGAACCAUAAAAACAACUGCCCUGCACCAUUGAAUGUUGACAUAUACCCGAUUCAUUGAUAUUGGUUCCUGUUCCUGGCUCCCUAGCAAAGCCAUUCUGUGUCACCCAGUGAACAUGUUAAUUACAAGGUUAUCCUCAUCUUCUGCAAGAUCUGAUUCAUUGUCAUCAAUUUGCAGUUCAUCCUCGUCUGCUGCAUGAUCUGAUUCAUUGUCAUCAAUUAGCUAUUCAUUAGUUGAUUUGAGGGAAUCGUGUCCGCCCUUGGUCAGUCCAGUCACAUUAUAUGCCACCUUUAAAUCAGUUUCCCUCUCAAAGAUCUUGUUCAUUACUGAGUUCAUCAUAUUAAGCUCCUCCUUGUUCAUCCCACCACUUUGUGGCUCUCGAUCACAAAAGUAUUGUUUUUGAGCAGUGUGAGGAGGGCCAGAGUGUUCCUCACAAUCACAGAAAUGGGUUGGGAGAGAAGGAACUUCAAUGCGUUGGAAACUAUAUUUGUGCUUGCCAGUUCCACUAAAAGGUAACGACUUCAUCUGCACAAGAAAGUCCCAUUUCAAAUAAGGGAAUGUUCCAUGUGCCACACAAUGAUGAACCAAAGUAAGGGUAUUCUAACUCUGGAUCUUUACCUUUUUCAACUUGGGAAAGAAAAUCCUAAGCUGAGACUUUUCUCGAUUCACAGUUUUCUUGGGCUUAUCUGAAGAGACAAUUUUUGUAUUUUUAUCAAUACUAUUACUAGGUUGACUAAUUGCAAGUUCACCAUCUUCGGCCCACUCCCGUCUCAAGAGAACAAGAUAAUGUUCUUUAGCCUUUUCAAGUUUCAACCUCCCUCCCUUCCAGAAGGUACCCAUUAUACUGUAUGCUUACAAAUUAAAAUGAGUGUAAGCCACCAUAUCCAACAUAAAACAAAUUUCUCCUCUAAUAUGUCAAUAAAUAAACAAACAACAUGUGCACUGCCCAGGUACUCACCCGGUGGUGCUUUCUUAAAGAAAAUAAGGUAGUUAUAUGACUACAGAGUUACUGUAAGAUGAACUGUAAUAAUUGAGUCUAUACAGAAGCUGAAAGACACAAUGUUGCUCUAAUACAAAGUAACUAAAUUUUGAAAAUCUGGAUGGAUCCUUACAAGAAAAUAGAGGGAGAAUGAGUGAGCGAGAAUACCGUGCUGAAGAGCUUGGAAAGAGAUUGUGCGAAUGAGGGAAGGAAGUCCAAAUAAGCAAAUCUACGACCUUAGGUCCUCACAAUAUCCACUGCCUUAACCGUUCCCAAAGAUGACAACAUCUUGUGAAUAUCAUCGCUGGUCACAGUUUCUCCCAAUCCUCCCACAAAUAUCCUUCUUGUUGUGAUACCUUCUUCCUCCUCCUCCUUACUACAACAAUUUUGGUUGAGCCUUUCUUCCAUUUUCUCGUCCCUAUAAACCAUAACAAGAAAUCGGGAUCACAACCCGCUCAAAUCGAUUUAGACGAAAUGCUGGGAUAGGAUGAGAUGGAAUAACCCUUCUCUGAAUGGAACAAAUACCCAUUCCAUGAAAUUGGAUAUGGAGAAAUCUUCGAUGUUCAUUUCAGUGUGUGACAACAUCCAAUUCAGAAAUCAACAAUGCUGGAACUGAAAUGGAAUACCUAUUCACAGAAAGAAGAUACCAAUUUGCAGAAAUAGGAUACCCAUUUCCCAAAAUCAGAUAACCAGAAAUCAUUCAUUCCUAUUCCAAUAUUUC